rnacentral:rRNA from 1 species
GACGAACGCUGGCGGCGUGCUUAACACAUGCAAGUCGAACGGAGAGGGCCUACUUUUGUUCUCUGCUCGAGUUGCGAACGGGUGAGUAACGCGUAGGUAACCUGCCCUUUACUUUGGGAUAACUUCUGGAAACGAGAGCUAAUACCGCAUAAUAGUACCUGCUGCAUGAUAUGUGUUUAAAAGUUUCGACGGCUUGGGAUGGACUUGCGGCUUCUCAGCUUGUUGGUGUGGGAGUGGCUUACCAAGGCUUUGGCGGGUAGCCGUCCUGAGAGGGUGACCGGCCACAGUGGGCCUGAGAUAGGGCCCAGAGUCAUACGGGAGGCAGCAGUGGGGAAUAGUGCACAAUGGGCGGAAUCAGUAUGCAGCAACUCCGCGUGCGGGAGGACGGCCGUCGGGUUGGAAACAGCUUUAGACUGUGACGAAGAGUGAGUGACGGUAACGUGUAAAGAAGCACCGGCUAACUACGUG